CAUGGGCCGACGUCGCAUGCUCCCGGCCGCCAUGGCGGCCGCGGGAAUCGAUUAGAGUUUGAUCAUGGCUCAGAUUGAACGCUGGCGGCAUGCUUUACACAUGCAAGUCGAACGGUAACAGGCCGCAAGGUGCUGACGAGUGGCGAACGGGUGAGUAAUGCAUCGGAACGUGCCCAGUCGUGGGGGAUAACGCAGCGAAAGCUGCGCUAAUACCGCAUACGAUCUAUGGAUGAAAGCGGGGGACCGUAAGGCCUCGCGCGAUUGGAGCGGCCGAUGUCAGAUUAGGUAGUUGGUGGGGUAAAGGCUCACCAAGCCAACGAUCUGUAGCUGGUCUGAGAGGACGACCAGCCACACUGGGACUGAGACACGGCCCAGACUCCUACGGGAGGCAGCAGUGGGGAAUUUUGGACAAUGGGCGCAAGCCUGAUCCAGCAAUGCCGCGUGCAGGAAGAAGGCCUUCGGGUUGUAAACUGCUUUUGUACGGAACGAAAAGGCUCUGGUUAAUACCUGGGGCACAUGACGGUACCGUAAGAAUAAGCACCGGCUAACUACGUGCCAGCAGCCGCGGUAAUACGUAGGGUGCAAGCGUUAAUCGGAAUUACUGGGCGUAAAGCGUGCGCAGGCGGUUUUGUAAGACAGGCGUGAAAUCCCCGGGCUUAACCUGGGAAUUGCGUUUGUGACUGCAAGGCUGGAGUGCGGCAAAGGGGGAUGGAAUUCCGCGUGUAGCAGUGGAAUGCGUAGAUAUGCGGAGGAACACGGAUGGCGAAGGCAAUCCCUGGGCCUGCCA
rnacentral:rRNA from 1 species